UACGUAGGCAGCGAGCGUUGUUCGGAGUUACUGGGCGUAAAGGGUGUGUAGGCGGUUGUUUAAGUUUGGUGUGAAAUCUCCCGGCUCAACUGGGAGGGUGCGCCGAAUACUGAAUGACUUGGAGUGCGGGAGAGGAGAGUGGAAUUUACGGUGUAGCGGUGAAAUGCGUAGAUAUCGUAAGGAAGACCAGUGGCGAAGGCGGGUCUCUGGACAGUUCCUGACGCUGAGGCACGAAGGCCAGGGGAGCAAACGGG
rnacentral:rRNA from 1 species